AGGACGAACGCUGGCGGCGUGCUUAACACAUGCAAGUCGAGCGGAAAGGCCCUUCGGGGUACUCGAGCGGCGAACGGGUGAGUAACACGUGAGUAACCUGCCCUGGACUUUGGGAUAACCCUCGGAAACGGGGGCUAAUACCGGAUACGACAUUCCACCGCAUGGUGUGUUUGUGGUAAAGUUUUUCGGUCUGGGAUGGGCUCGCGGCCUAUCAGCGUUGGUUGGGUGGGGUGAUCGGCCUAACCGAAGGCGAACGGACGGGUAGCCCGGCC
rnacentral:rRNA from 1 species